rnacentral:rRNA from 1 species
CCUACGGGCGGCAGCAGUGAGGAAUAUUGGUCAAUGGACGAGAGUCUGAACCAGCCAAGUAGCGUGAAGGAUGACUGCCCUAUGGGUUGUAAACUUCUUUUAUAUGGGAAUAAAACGUUCCACGUGUGGGAUUUUGUAUGUACCAUAUGCAUAAGGAUCGGCUAACUCCGUGCCAGCAGCCGCGGUAAUACGGAGGAUCCGAGCGUUAUCCGGAUUUAUUGGGUUUAAAGGGAGCGUAGGUGGAUUGUUAAGUCAGUUGUGAAAGUUUGCGGCUCAACCGUAAAAUUGCAGUUGAAACUGGCAGUCUUGAGUACAGUAGAGGUGGGCGGAAUUCGUGGUGUAGCGGUGAAAUGCUUAGAUAUCACGAAGAACUCCGAUUGCGAAGGCAGUUCACUGGACUGCAACUGACACUGAGGCUCGAAAGUGUGGGUAUCAAACAGGAUUAGAUACCCCAGUAGUC